rnacentral:rRNA from 1 species
ACAAUAUACAAGGUGCUGCAUGGUUGUCGUCAGCUCGUGCCGUGAGGUGUCGGGUUAAGUCCCAUAACGAGCGCAACCCCUAUCAUAGUUGCCAUCAGGUCAAGCUGGGGACUCUAAUGAAACUGCCUACGCAAGUAGUGAGGAAGGUGGGGAUGACGUCAAAUCAGCACGGCCCUUACGUCCAGGGCUACACACGUGCUACAAUGGCCGGUACAAAGGGCAGCUACCUGGUGACAGGAUGCUAAUCUCAAAAGCCGGUCUCAGUUCGGAUCGGAGUCUGCAACCCGACUCCGUGAAGUUGGAUUCGCUAGUAAUCGCGCAUCAGCCAUGGCGCGGUGAAUACGUUCCCGGGCCUU